AAAUUUUCUAAUUAAAAAACAAUGAUAAUAAUGAAAGCAAAAUAAAAGAAAUAUUUUUUAGACGAAAAUGUUUUACUACAGGAGGCGAGUAUAUUAUGAUCUGUUUUGAAAAGCAUAGCAAGCAAAAUUGUUUCACAGACGAAAAAUCUGGUUAAUUCAGAUACUACGAAGUUACUAGGAUAAGAUGUAUAUUCUUUUAAUAAAAAUGUUUAGCUGCAAAUAAAAGGACAGAAAGGAGAAAGAGGAGAUGUGCUUCUCGUGCAAGGAGAACCUGGUGAGAGUGUUGCAUGUAGUGGAUGCAAAAAAGUAAGUAAAAAUAAACUACUGUUUAAACUGGGUGUGCCCUUACAAACUUGACAGAAUUCUCUUUUGAUUUUGACCACGCUCUACUUGACAAAGUAAGCUAAUGGUAUAAAAUUAGGAAAAUACUUUAUUCGGAGAAACGUUUACGUUUUUUGACCUUUUUUGCGAUACUUUGUCUCGUGAAACUUUUAAGAAUGACCAUUCGCGAAAGUUUAUUCAGGACAAACUUUCUAAAUUGUCGAUUCGCGAAAGUUUAUCCACUAAAAUUUAAAAGAAAUUUGCUGAUUUUAAAAGUUAUUUCUUGACUCGCCCUCACUUGGCUUGACCUCCUGAUAAAAAAAGAGACAACGGGCACUGGGAACAAGAUUGGAAUAAACUUAGAAAUAAACAAAACAGAUGAUGUUUCAAAUGUAUAUGUAUGGCUUAUAACCGAGUUACUGGCAAAAAGGCAAUGACGACAAUGCGUGGGAGCCGGAAGAAGACGAGCCUAGAAAUGCGCUUGAUCUGUUUUGAGAUUUUGACGAUGAAGCCAGUUUGUAAACAGAAGUUUUUACAUACCAUUAGAAAGAACUUUACAUCGUUAAAAAACACUUUUCUAUCAUAAAAAAUAUAGGCCACUUUUGUUAUAGGAACAUAAAAAAUCACGAAUCGCGAAAGUUCAUCUCGCUAAAACUUGUUAGCAGCUCAAGGGAAUGCAGAAACGUAUAUCGUAAAAGCUCCGCGUAGAUUGGAAGGUCCUAAGGGAGAGCCUGGACAUCGCGGUGUAAAAGGAGAUACAGGGAGUCCUGGAGAAAAAGGCAUAACUGGUCAAAAGGGAUACCCAGGAAGACACGGUGAAACGGGAAUGCGAGGAGAUGCAGGUGACAAUGGAAUAAGAAGGCCACCGGGAGAGAUUGGUCUAAGAGGUCCACCUGGUAAAACUGGAUUUGAUGGAAUACCAGGUUUUAGUGGUUUCAAAGGUGAGAAGGGAAGAAGAGGUGCUUGUGAUUUCAAGAAAAUAAAUGGACUGGUACAUAAGUUAUACGAACUUCGUAAAAAAUAUCUAGACUUGAAUAAUCAGGCCAUUCGUGCCCUCUCAUCUUAAAGGGUUAAAUGUCCUGUUGAUGAUCGCCUCAUCAAUUAUUUCUUUGCUCUUUUUGCAAAGACUAAUGCAAAGGAGACAAUGUCAAAACCAAUGGUUGUUUUACCUCUCUUCAAAGAGAUAAAUACUCUUCCAUUAUUCUUUUUGUCCCCAUGUGUUUUA